AACGCACAUUGCGCCCUCUGGUAUUCCGGGGGGCAUGCCUGUUCGAGCGUCAUUAUGACCAAUCACGCAAGUGGUAUUGGGGCUUGCCGUCGGCAUCCCUUAAAACUAGUGGCAGUGCUAUAGGCUCUCAGCGCAGUAAUUAUUUCGCUCUCGAGUCCUAGACCCACCCGCCAAAACCCCAACUUUCUUAAGGUUGACCUCGGAUCAGGUAGGGAUACCCGCUGAACUUAA
rnacentral:misc_RNA from 1 species